AAGGAUCAUUACAGAGUGCGGACCCUUCGGGGUCCAACCUCCCACCCGUGUCUAUUGUACCUUGUUGCUUCGGCGGGCCCGCCAUCCUGGCCGCCGGGGGGCUCACGCCCCCGGGCCCGUGCCCGCCGAAGACCACAUUGAACGCUGUCUGAAGCUUGCAGUCUGAGUGAUUAGCUAAAUCAGUUAAAACUUUCAACAACGGAUCUCUUGGUUCCG
rnacentral:misc_RNA from 1 species